rnacentral:tRNA from 1 species
GGAGAGAUGGCAGAGUGGUCGAAUGCGGCGGUCUUGAAAACCGUUGAGUGUUACAGCUCCGGGGGUUCGAAUCCCUCUCUCUCCG